rnacentral:rRNA from 1 species
GAUCAAGUAAAGGAAGAGCACAAGGCGGAUGCCUUGGCAGCAUAAGGCGAUGAAGGACGUAAUAACCUGCGAUAAGCCUCGGGGAGCUGGUAAAUAAGCUUCGAUCCGAGGAUUUCCGAAUGGGAAAACCCAAUAUACAAAAGUAUAUUAUCUUAUACUGAAUACAUAGGUAUAAGAGGCAAACCUAGGGAACUGAAACAUCUAAGUACCUAGAGGAAAAGAAAUCAACAGAGAUUCCGGUAGUAGCGGCGAGCGAAACCGGAUCAGCCCUUAAGCUUAUUUUAGUCCAGCAAAAUAUUCUGGAAAGUUUAGCCAUAGUAGGUGAUAGCCCUGUAUGCGAAAGACUAAUUUAAGUGAAAUCGAGUAGGUCGGGACACGUGAAAUCUUGACUGAAUAUGGGGGGACCAUCCUCCAAGGCUAAAUACUCUAUGCUGACCGAUAGUGAACCAGUACCGUGAGGGAAAGGCGAAAAGAACCCCGGCGAGGGGAGUGAAAUAGAACCUGAAACCUUGUGCUUACAAGCAGUCGGAGCAGACUUGUUCUGUGACGGCGUACCUUUUGUAUAAUGGGUCAACGACUUAAUUUCAGUAGCAAGCUUAACCAUUUAGGGUAGGCGUAGGGAAACCGAGUCUUAAUAGGGCGCUCAGUUGCUGGAAUUAGACCCGAAACCGGGUGAUCUAUCCAUGGCCAGUGUGAAGGUCGAGUAACAUCGACUGGAGGCGCGAACCCACUUAUGUUGAAAAAUGAGGGGAUGAGCUGUGGAUAGGAGUGAAAGGCUAAUCAAACCCGGAGAUAGCUGGUUCUCUUCGAAAACUAUUUAGGUAGUGCCUCGUGUAUUACCGUAGGGGGUAGAGCACUGUUUCGGCUAGGGGGUCAUCCCGACUUACCAAACCGAUGCAAACUCCGAAUACCUACGAGUAUGAGCACGGGAGACAGACUGCGGGUGCUAACGUCCGUAGUCGAGAGGGAAACAACCCAGACUGUCAGCUAAGGUCCCAAAUUAUGAUUAAGUGGGAAACAAUGUGGGAAGGCACAAACAGCUAGGAGGUUGGCUUAGAAGCAGCCAUCCUUUAAAGAAAGCGUAAUAGCUCACUAGUCGAGUCGGCCUGCGUGGAAGAUAUAACGGGGCUAAAUCAUAAACCGAAGCUACAGAUCUUAAAUUUAUUUAAGAUGGUAGAAGAGCGUUCUGUAAGCGGUUGAAGGCAAGCUGAGAGGCAAGCUGGACGUAUCAGAAGUGCGAAUGUUGACAUGAGUAACGAUCAAAGAGGUGAAAAACCUCUUCGCCGAAAAACCAAGGGUUCCUGUCCAACGCUAAUCGAGGCAGGGUGAGGCGGCCCCUAAGGCGAGGGCGAAAGCCGUAGUCGAUGGGAAACAGGUUAAUAUUCCUGUACUUUUUAUAACUGCGAUGGGGUGACGGAGAAGGUUAAACUAGCACGGCGACGGUUGUCCGUGUUUAAGGUUGUAGGCUGGUGUUUUAGGUAAAUCCGGAACACCAAGGCUGAGAACUGAUGACGACCACUCUAUGAGUGGGAAGUAGUUAAUACCAUGCUUCCAGGAAAAACCUCUAAGCUUCAGGUUAUAAGAAACCGUACCCUAAACCGACACAGGUGGUUAGGUCGAGUAGACCAAGGUGUUUGAGAGAACUAUGGUGAAGGAACUAGGCAAAAUAGCACCGUAACUUCGGGAGAAGGUGCGCCGCGUUUGGUGAUGAGACUUGCUCUCUAAGCUGAACGUGGUCGAAGA